UGGGGAAUUUUGGACAAUGGGCGAAAGCCUGAUCCAGCAAUGCCGCGUGUGUGAAGAAGGCCUUCGGGUUGUAAAGCACUUUUGUCCGGAAAGAAAUCCUUGGCUCUAAUACAGUCGGGGGAUGACGGUACCGGAAGAAUAAGCACCGGCUAACUACGUGCCAGCAGCCGCGGUAAUACGUAGGGUGCAAGCGUUAAUCGGAAUUACUGGGCGUAAAGCGUGCGCAGGCGGUUUGCUAAGACCGAUGUGAAAUCCCCGGGCUCAACCUGGGAACUGCAUUGGUGACUGGCAGGCUAGAGUAUGGCAGAGGGGGGUAGAAUUCCACGUGUAGCAGUGAAAUGCGUAGAGAUGUGGAGGAAUACCAAUGGCGAAGGCAGCCCCCUGGGCCAAUACUGACGCUCAUGCACGAAAGCGUGGGGAGCAAACAGGAUUAGAUACCCUGGUAGUCCACGCCCUAAAACGAUGUCAACUAGUUGUUGGGGAUUCAUUUCCUUAGUAACGUAGCUAACGCGUGAAGUUGACCGCCUGGGGAGUACGGUCGCAAGAUUAAAACUUAAAGGAAUUGACGGGGUCAUAGCUG
rnacentral:rRNA from 1 species